rnacentral:rRNA from 1 species
ACGAGCGCUGGCGGCAUGCCUAACACAUGCAAGUCGAACGAGACCUUCGGGUCUAGUGGCGCACGGGUGCGUAACGCGUGGGAACCUGCCCUUAGGUUCGGAAUAACUCCCCGAAAGGGGUGCUAAUACCGGAUAAUGUCUUCGGACCAAAGAUUUAUCGCCUUUGGAUGGGCCCGCGUUGGAUUAGCUAGUUGGUAGGGUAAAAGCCUACCAAGGCGACGAUCCAUAGCUGGUCUGAGAGGAUGAUCAGCCACACUGGGACUGAGACACGGCCCAGACUCCUGCAGGAGGCGGCAGUGGGAAAGAUUGAACAAGGGGGAGGAGCCAGAUCCAUCGAUGCCGCGUGAUAGGUGAGGGCCUUAGGGUUGUAAAGCUCUUUAACCGGGGCUGAUAGUGGCAGUACGGAAAGAAAGAGCUCGGGCAAACUCCG